GCGGAGGGAUGACUGAGUGGUUGAAAGUACCGGUCUUGAAAACCGGCGUAGGUUAAUAGCCUGCCCAGGGUUCGAAUCCCUCUCCCUCCGC
rnacentral:tRNA from 1 species